rnacentral:rRNA from 1 species
UACAGAGGUCUCAAGCGUUUGUUCGGAUUCAUUGGGCGUAAAGGGUGCGUAGGCGGCGCGGUAAGUCGGGUGUGAAAUCUCGGGGCUUAACUCCGAAACUGCAUUCGAUACUGCGGUGCUUGAGGACUGGAGAGGAGACUGGAAUUCAUGGUGUAGCAGUGAAAUGCGUAGAGAUCAUGAGGAAGACCAGUGGCGAAGGCGGUUCUCUGGGCAUGUCCUGACGCUGAGGAGCGAAAGUGUGGGGAGCGAACAGG